UAGAUAAUACAUGUAGGUGUGUUCUGG
rnacentral:piRNA from 1 species